rnacentral:lncRNA from 1 species
CCUACCUAAAACCAGAGCCUCCCUCCUGCAGACUCAGGAAGAUUAACUGAGGCAAUGCUGGGACUACAGACCUCGCAACACCGCCGCCAACACUGGAGCGUCCACGGACUCCAGCUUCCGAGCACAGCAAGUAUAUCCGUUCCCUCAAGGGGCCACCGAACAUCAAGUGACUGCAAACAUGUGAAGUCCAGAGACUAAAGAAAGAACUCUCAGCCAACUGGGUAAGUCAGAUAAAGGAGUCAUAACAUCA